rnacentral:rRNA from 1 species
UCCCUCAGUAACGGCGAGUGAAGUGGGGAAAGCUCAAAUUUUAAAUCUACCUGGUACCCCAGGUCGAGUUGUAAUUUGAAGAAGCGUUUUCGGUGCUUCGGUCUGGUCCAAGUCCUUUGGAACAAGGCAUCACGGAGGGUGAGAAUCCCGUGCAUGGUCAGACCCGAAGUUCCAAUCAGAUACGCUCUCGAAGAGUCGAGUUGUUUGGGAAUGCAGCUCAAAUUGGGUGGUAGACUUCACCUAAGGCUAAAUAUCAGCGAGAGACCGAUAGCGAACAAGUACCGUGAGGGAAAGAUGAAAAGAACUUUGAAAAGAGAGUUAAACAGUACGUGAAAUUGUUGAAAGGGAAACGAUUGAAGUCAGUCGUGCCGAUGAGAAAUCAACUUGACGGGUUUCGGAUUUCUUGGGUUGAGUCAGGGUCAAACCGUCUCUCCCUUGAAUUCGGGAUUUGUUGGGUGUACUUUCUUUGUUGGCAGGUCAGCGUCGAUUUCGGGGGUCGUAAAAUAACUGGGGGAAUGUAGCUCCCUUCGGGGAGUGUUAUAGACCCUGGAGGAUGCGGUCCGCGAGAUCGAGGAUUGCAGCAAAUGCUCU